CCUACGGGGGGCAGCAGUGAGGAAUAUUGGUCAAUGGACGAGAGUCUGAACCAGCCAAGUAGCGUGAAGGAUGACUGUCCUAUGGGUUGUAAACUUCUUUUAUCUGGGAAUAAAAUGUUCCACGUGUGGGAUUUUGUAUGUACCAUAUGAAUAAGGAUCGGCUAACUCCGUGCCAGCAGCCGCGGUAAUACGGAGGAUCCGAGCGUUAUCCGGAUUUAUUGGGUUUAAAGGGUGCGUAGGUGGAUUGUUAAGUCAGGUGUGAAAGUUUGCGGCUCAACCGUAAAAUUGCAGUUGAAACUGGCAGUCUUGAGUACAGUAGAGGUGGGCGGAAUGCGUGGUGUAGCGGUGAAAUGCUUAGAUAUCACGAAGAACUCCGAUUGCGAAGGCAGUUCACUGGACUGCAACUGACACUGAGGCUCGAAAGUGUGGGUAUCAAACAGGAUUAGAUACCCUAGUAGUC
rnacentral:rRNA from 1 species